rnacentral:rRNA from 1 species
UACAGAGGUCUCAAGCGUUGUUCGGAAUCACUGGGCGUAAAGCGCACGUAGGCGGCUUUUUAAGUCGGUGGUGAAAUCCUGGAGCUCAACUCCAGAACUGCCUCCGAUACUGAAAGGCUCGAGUCCGGGAGAGGUGAGUGGAACUGCGAGUGUAGAGGUGAAAUUCGUAGAUAUUCGCAAGAACACCAGUGGCGAAGGCGGCUCACUGGCCCGGUACUGACGCUGAGGUGCGAAAGCGUGGGGAGCAAACAGG